AGAGUUUGAUCCUGGCUCAGAUUGAACGCUGGCGGCAUGCUUUACACAUGCAAGUCGAGCGGCAGCACGGGGGCAACCCUGGUGGCGAGCGGCGAACGGGUGAGAAAUACAUCGGAACAUGCCCAGUCGUGGGGGAUAACACUUCGAAAGAAGUGCUAAUACCGCAUACGUCCUGAGGGAGAAAGGGGGGGAUCUUCGGACCUCGCGCGAUUGGAGUGGCCGAUGUCAGAUUAGCUAGUUGGUGGGGUAAAGGCCUACCAAGGCAACGAUCUGUAGCUGGUCUGAGAGGAUGAUCAGCCACACUGGGACUGAGACACGGCCCAGACUCCUACGGGAGGCAGCAGUGGGGAAUAUUGGACAAUGGGCGAAAGCCUGAUCCAGCCAUGCCGCGUGAGUGAUGAAGGCCCUAGGGUUGUAAAGCUCUUUCGCCAGGGACGAUAAUGACGGUACCUGGAUAAGAAGCCCCGGCUAACUUCGUGCCAGCAGCCGCGGUAAUACGAAGGGGGCUAGCGUUGUUCGGAUUUACUGGGCGUAAAGCGCACGUAGGCGGAUUUUUAAGUCAGGGGUGAAAUCCCAAGGCUCAACCUUGGAACUGCCUUUGAUACUGGAAGUCUCGAGUCCGGGAGAGGUGAGUGGAACUGCGAGUGUAGAGGUGAAAUUCGUAGAUAUUCGCAAGAACACCAGUGGCGAAGGCGGCUCACUGGCCCGGAACUGACGCUGAGGUGCGAAAGCGUGGAGAGCAAACAGGAUUAGAUACCCUGGUAGUCCACGCCGUAAACUAUGGAUGCUAGCCGUUGGGGAGCUUGCUCUUCAGUGGCGCAGCUAACGCUUUAAGCAUCCCGCCUGGGGAGUACGGUCGCAAGAUUAAAACUC
rnacentral:rRNA from 1 species